rnacentral:rRNA from 1 species
GAUGAACGCUGGCGGCGUGCUUAACACAUGCAAGUCGAACGGUGAACGAGGGAGCUUGCUCCCUCCGGAUCAGUGGCGAACGGGUGAGUAACACGUGAGCAAUCUGCCCUGGACUCUGGGAUAAGCGUUGGAAACGACGUCUAAUACCGGAUACGAGGCGUGGGGGCAUCCCCAACGCCUGGAAAGAACUUCGGUCCAGGAUGAGCUCGCGGCCUAUCAGCUAGUUGGUGAGGUAACGGCUCACCAAGGCGACGACGGGUAGCCGGCCUGAGAGGGUGACCGGCCACACAGGGACUGAGACACGGCCCAGAAUCCUACGGGAGGCAGCAGUGGGGAAUAUUGCACAAUGGGCGCAAGCCUGAUGCAGCAACGCCGCGUGAGGGACGACGGCCUUCGGGUUGUAAACCUCUUUUAGCAGGGAAGAAGCGAAAGUGACGGUACCUGCAGAAAAAGCACCGGCUAACUACGUGCCAGCCGCCGCCGUAAUAC